UGGGGAAUUUUGGACAAUGGGCGAAAGCCUGAUCCAGCAAUGCCGCGUGUGUGAAGAAGGCCUUCGGGUUGUAAAGCACUUUUGUCUGGAAAGAAAUCCUUGGCUCUAAUACAGUCGGGGGAUGACGGUACCGGAAGAAUAAGCACCGGCUAACUACGUGCCAGCAGCCGCGGUAAUACGUAGGGUGCAAGCGUUAAUCGGAAUUACUGGGCGUAAAGCGUGCGCAGGCGGUUUGCUAAGACCGAUGUGAAAUCCCCGGGCUCAACCUGGGAACUGCAUUGGUGACUGGCAGGGCUAGAGUAUGGCAGAGGGGGGUAGAAUUCCACGUGUAGCAGUGAAAUGCGUAGAGAUGUGGAGGAAUACCGAUGGCGAAGGCAGCCCCCUGGGCCAAUACUGACGCUCAUGCACGAAAGCGUGGGGAGCAAAACAGGAUUAGAUACCCUGGUAGUCCACGCCCUAAAACGAUGUCAAACUAGUUGUUGGGGAUUCA
rnacentral:rRNA from 1 species